rnacentral:rRNA from 1 species
AGUGAACGCUGGCGGUAGGCCUAACACAUGCAAGUCGAACGGCAGCACAGUAAGAGCCUGCUCUUACGGGUGGCGAGUGGCGGACGGGUGAGGAAUACAUCGGAAUCUACUUUUUCGUGGGGGAUAACGUAGGGAAACUUACGCUAAUACCGCAUACGACCUACGGGUGAAAGCAGGGGAUCUUCGGACCUUGCGCGAUUGAAUGAGCCGAUGUCGGAUUAGCUAGUUGGCGGGGUAAAGGCCCACCAAGGCGACGAUCCGUAGCUGGUCUGAGAGGAUGAUCGGCCACACUGGAACUGAGACACGGUCCAGACUCCUACGGGAGGCAGCAGUGGGGAAUAUUGGACAAUGGGCGCAAGCCUGAUCCAGCCAUACCGCGUGGGUGAAGAAGGCCUUCGGGUUGUAAAGCCCUUUUGUUGGGAAAGAAAAGCAGCAGGUUAAUACCCCGCUGUUCUGACGGUACCCAAAGAAUAAGCACCGGCUAACUUCGUG